CAUGAGCUGUGGAGAUGAAUGUCCUUGCAUGCUUAGCCCUGGGACUUCUGGCCAUGGCCACUCUGUGUCAUGGUGAUUGGUUCUUUCAUUCCUACCAACCUGAUCCAUUCAAUGGUGAAGUCCUC